GGGGAUUUAGCUCAGUGGUAGAGCGCUUGCCUAGCAAGCGCAAAUCCCUG
rnacentral:tRNA from 1 species